GUGAGGAAUAUUGGUCAAUGGACGAGAGUCUGAACCAGCCAAGUCGCGUGAAGGAAGACGGUUCUAUGAAUUGUAAACUUCUUUUGUGCAGGAAUAAAGUGGGUUACGUGUAACCUUUUGUAUGUACUGUACGAAUAAGGAUCGGCUAACUCCGUGCCAGCAGCCGCGGUAAUACGGAGGAUCCGAGCGUUAUCCGGAUUUAUUGGGUUUAAAGGGUGCGUAGGUGGAUUGAUAAGUCAGCGGUGAAAGUUUGCAGCUUAACUGUAAAAUUGCCGUUGAAACUGUCGGUCUUGAGUGCAAAUGAGGUAGGCGGAAUGUGUUGUGUAGCGGUGAAAUGCUUAGAUAUAACACAGAACUCCGAUUGCGAAGGCAGCUUCUGGGAUGCAACUGACACUGAUGCACGAAAGCGUGGGUAUCAAACAGGAUUAGAAACCCCUGUAGUCC
rnacentral:rRNA from 1 species